UUACAGGUUAUAGAAGGUGGAAAGAAAAGUUUGUUCGUGGCUAUCAUAAAUGAAUUCUACACGUUCGAUUUGAUGGAAAUA